rnacentral:rRNA from 1 species
UACGUAGGGGGCAAGCGUUGUCCGGAUUUAUUGGGCGUAAAGCGCGCGCAGGCGGUUUAUUAAGUCUGAUGUGAAAGCCCACGGCUCAACCGUGGAGGGCCAUUGGAAACUGGUAGGCUAGAGUCCGGAAGAGGCGAGUGGAAUUCCUGGUGUAGCGGUGAAAUGCGCAGAUAUCAGGAGGAACACCAAUGGCGAAGGCAGCUCGCUGGGACGGUACUGACGCUGAGGCGCGAAAGCGUGGGGAGCAAACAGG